rnacentral:rRNA from 1 species
UGGGGAAUUUUGGACAAUGGGCGCAAGCCUGAUCCAGCCAUGCCGCGUGCGGGAAGAAGGCCUUCGGGUUGUAAACCGCUUUUGUCAGGGAAGAAAUCUUCUGAGUUAAUACCUCGGGAGGAUGACGGUACCUGAAGAAUAAGCACCGGCUAACUACGUGCCAGCAGCCGCGGUAAUACGUAGGGUGCAAGCGUUGAUCGGAAUUACUGGGCGUAAAGCGUGCGCAGGCGGUUUUGUAAGACAGAGGUGAAAUCCCCGGGCUCAACCUGGGAACUGCCUUUGUGACUGCAAGGCUUGAGUGCGGCAGAGGGGGGAUGGAAUUCCGCGUGUAGCAGUGAAAUGCGUAGAUAUGCGGAGGAACACCGAUGGCGAAGGCAAUCCCCUGGGCCUGCACUGACGCUCAUGCACGAAAGCGUGGGGAGCAAACAGGAUUAGAUAGCCCUGGUAGUCCACGCCCUAAAACGAUGUCAACUGGUUGUUGGGAAGGUUCCUUCUCAGUAACGUAGCUAACGCGUGAAGUUGACCGCCU